UGUCUUAAAGAUUAAGCCAUGCAUGUAUCAGUACAAGCCACACCAAGGUGAAACCGCGAAUGGCUCAUUAAAUCAGUUAUUAUUUACUGGCCGAGACAGUGAUACAUGGAUAACUGUGGUAAUUCUAGAGCUAAUACAUGCAACCGAGCCCCAGUGUCGACUCUCGGGUCGGCCGGGGCGCUUUUAUUGGCUGAAAACCGAUGACCGCCCUCGCGGCGGUCGUUCUCCGAUGAAUCACAAUAACAUUGUGUGGAUCGUACGGUCUUGUACCGACGACGCGCCUUUCAAAUAUCUGCCUUAUCAGCUCUCGACGGUUUGCUAGUGGCUGACCGUGGCUCUGACGGGUAACGGGGAAUCUGGGUUCGGUUCCGGAGAGGGAGCCUGAGAGAUGGCUACCACAUCUAAGGAAGGCAGCAGGCGCGUAACUUACCCACUCCCAGUUCAGGGAGGUAGUGACAAUAAAUACCUUACAGAGGUCUCGUUAACCGAGAUCUCUCAAACGGAAUGAGUACAACGUGAAUCCUUUAACGAGGAUCGACUGGAGGGCAAGCCUGGUGCCAGCAGCCGCGGUAAUUCCAGCUCCAGUAGCGUAUAUUAAAGUUGUUGCGGUUA
rnacentral:rRNA from 1 species